GAUGAACGCUGGCGGCGUGCCUAAUACAUGCAAGUCGAGCGAACAGACGAGGAGCUUGCUCCUCUGACGUUAGCGGCGGACAGGUGAGUAACACGUGGAUAACCUACCUAUAAGACUGGGAUAACUUCGGGAAACCGGAGCUAAUACCGGAUAAUAUAUUGAACCGCAUGGUUCAAUAGUGAAAGACGGUUUUACUGUCACUUAUAGAUGGAUCCGCGCCGCAUUAGCUAGUUGGUAAGGUAACGGCUUACCAAGGCAACGAUGCGUAGCCGACCUGAGAGGGUGAUCGGCCACACUGGAACUGAGACACGGUCCAGACUCCUACGGGAGGCAGCAGUAGGGAAUCUUCCGCAAUGGGCGAAAGCCUGACGGAGCAACGCCGCGUGAGUGAUGAAGGUCUUCGGAUCGUAAAACUCUGUUAUUAGGGAAGAACAAAUGUGUAAGUAACUAUGCACGUCUUGACGGUACCUAAUCAGAAAGCCACGGCUAACUACGUG
rnacentral:rRNA from 1 species